rnacentral:rRNA from 1 species
GUGGGGAAUUUUGGACAAUGGGCGCAAGCCUGAUCCAGCAAUGCCGCGUGCAGGAAGAAGGCCUUCGGGUUGUAAACUGCUUUUGUACGGAACGAAACGGUCCGGGUUAAUACCCUGGGCUAAUGACGGUACCGUAAGAAUAAGCACCGGCUAACUACGUGCCAGCAGCCGCGGUAAUACGUAGGGUGCAAGCGUUAAUCGGAAUUACUGGGCGUAAAGCGUGCGCAGGCGGGUUUGUAAGACAGGCGUGAAAUCCCCGGGCUCAACCUGGGAAUUGCGCUAGUGACUGCAAGGCUGGAGUGCGGCAGAGGGGGAUGGAAUUCCGCGUGUAGCAGUGAAAUGCGUAGAUAUGCGGAGGAACACCGAUGGCGAAGGCAAUCCCCUGGGCCUGCACUGACGCUCAUGCACGAAAGCGUGGGGAGCAAACAGGAUUAGAAACCCUUGUAGUCC